CCUACGGGAGGCAGCAGUGAGGAAUAUUGGUCAAUGGCCGUAAGGCUGAACCAGCCAAGUCGCGUGAAGGAAGAAGGACCUAUGGUUUGUAAACUUCUUUUAUAGGGGAAUAAAGGUAUCCACGUGUGGAUAUUUGCAUGUACCCUAUGAAUAAGCAUCGGCUAACUCCGUGCCAGCAGCCGCGGUAAUACGGAGGAUGCGAGCGUUAUCCGGAUUUAUUGGGUUUAAAGGGUGCGUAGGUUGGUUUUUAAGUCAGUGGUGAAAGUUUGUGGCGUAACCAUAAAAUUGCCGUUGAUACUGGCAGGCGUGAGUUUGGUUGAGGUAGGCGGAAUGCGUGGUGUAGCGGUGAAAUGCAUAGAGAUCACGAAGAACUCCGAUUGCGAAGGCAGCUUACUAAGCCAUAACUGACACUGAAGCACGAAAGCGUGGGGAUCAAACAGGAUUAGAUACCCUUGUAGUC
rnacentral:rRNA from 1 species